GCGCAGCAGUCGAGAAAACUUUACAAUGCGGGAAACCGUGAUAAGGGAACCUCGAGUGCUGGCGCAUAGCGUCGGCUGUCCAGAUGCCUAAAAAGCAUCUGAUAGCAAGGGCCGGGCAAGACCGGUGCCAGCCGCCGCGGUAACACCGGCGGCUCGAGUGGUGGCCACGUUUAUUGGGUCUAAAGCGUCCGUAGCCGGCUCGGCAAGUCCCCCUGGGGAAAUCUGGGCGGCUCAACCGUCAGGCGUCCAGA
rnacentral:rRNA from 1 species